GAUGAACGCUGGCGGCGUGCCUAAUACAUGCAAGUCGAGCGAACAGACGAGGAGCUUGCUCCUCUGACGUUAGCGGCGGACGGGUGAGUAACACGUGGAUAACCUACCUAUAAGACUGGGAUAACUUCGGGAAACCGGAGCUAAUACCGGAUAACAUUUUGAACCGCAUGGUUCAACAGUGAAAGACGGUCUUGCUGUCACUUAUAGAUGGAUCCGCGCCGCAUUAGCUAGUUGGUAAGGUAACGGCUUACCAAGGCAACGAUGCGUAGCCGACCUGAGAGGGUGAUCGGCCACACUGGAACUGAGACACGGUCCAGACUCCUACGGGAGGCAGCAGUAGGGAAUCUUCCGCAAUGGGCGAAAGCCUGACGGAGCAACGCCGCGUGAGUGAAGAAGGUCUUCGGAUCGUAAAACUCUGUUAUUAGGGAAGAACAAAUGUGUAAGUAACUAUGCACGUCCUGACGGUACCUAAUCAGAAAGCCACGGCUAACUACGUG
rnacentral:rRNA from 1 species